UUUCCGUAGGUGAACCUGCGGAAGGAUCAUUACAGAGUUCAUUCCCUCACGGGUCGAUCUCCCACCCUUGAAUAUUUAUACCUUAGUUGCUUUGGCAGGCCGUGGAAACACCAUGGGCUCCGGCUUAUGCGUGCCUGCCAGAGGAAACAAACUCUGUUUUCAGUGAUGUCUGAGUACUAUAUAAUAGUUAAAACUUUCAACAACGGAUCUCUUGGUUCUG
rnacentral:misc_RNA from 1 species